CCUGGCCUUGCUCAGUGGGUUAAGGAUCUGGCGUUGCUGUGAGCUGUGGUGUAGGUCACAGACGCAGCUUGGAUCUGGCGUUGCUGUGGCUGUGGCAUAAGCUAGAGACUACGACUUUGAUUUGACUCCUAGCCUGGGAUCCUCCAUAUGCUGCUGGGUCCUCUAUCUUGAGUGGAGGUUGUAUCUAGGUUCUGAGUGAUGCUCUGGUGCCCCCACAGUACCACCUGCCACCCAUACCAGUGAUGCCUCCAUCUCUGGACCACAUCACAAAGGGUGGGGCUUCUCAGUUACCUCCUGGGCUCACAGGUAGAUUCCACGUGCUCACUAUCCCAUUCUUGGUUAUGAGGCUCACGUGAUUUGUAUAAAGCAUAGAUUGUUGAAAGGCCAUCACCAGACCUCAUUUUUCAGCACUAUCUUCCUCUGUCUGGUCUGUGCUUUUAAGCCAGAGUGCUAAUCACUAGGAGUGAGCCUUGAUUUAUGGCAUCCUGUCUGUCCUGGCUCUUGGAAAUGACUCAGAUGAGUUGCAGGGCACGAGGGUCCUGGAGAAUGCGGAUGGCCUGAGUGUUCUGAGUCAAUGGAGGAUGCCACAUGGUUAUUGUGUUUAUGGAAUCACAUCCUGGAAGCCUGGCCACAGAAAUCCUGUGCUGGACAAACACUGAUCCACAGCCCUUCCCAGCCUCAUUGCCCAUGUUCUUCAACUACGUGUGAGAAACAGCAUCUUCCUGCCCUAUAAGUAAGGCAGGGGAUGCCCUAGACAAGGCAGCAGAGUUACCUGCCCUGCAGUCCUAGAAGGGGGCACCUGUGGUUGUCAGAUUUCAGGGAUGUGUUGUGUCAAAGAGACAGUGUGAGAAAGAUCUCAUCUGGGCUGGAAGAGUUCGCGGUGGCCUGGCCGAGGGCAGAGAAGCUCAGCGUCAUCCUGGAUUCCUCCUUUUUCUGGAUUCCAUAGCUUCCCCACCCCUACCCCAUCCCGGCACCCAGUGCUAGGAGAUCCCCCUCAAGUCUUCACAAUCCACCCCCUCUUCCCUUUCCCACACCCGCCUCCCUACUUAUGGUCUCACUUUUUCAUUUGUGGGUGCUACGCUGACACUCAUCAUCCAUCUGCACCAUCACAGAAACAUGGAUGGUUGGUUGGUUGGUUGGUUGGUCUUUCUUCCCAAUGCUCAUCCUUCCGUGUUGCCAGCCUGCUGACCCCGGCUCCAUGCUGCGCCCAGGACCAGGUCCACACUCUUCACCUUGACAUUUGAGGACUUUCAGGCUGUAUGUCCACCUUCUCCCAACUCUUCCUCCACUGGUCCUGCCCCUGUGCCCUCACGGGUCUGCCCCUGUGGCCCAAACCGGCCACUGUCCUGACUCCAGUCCCUGCCCAUCCUUCUUCCUCUCUGCACCCUCCACCCCCCGCCCUACCAGGCUCCCAGCUGCCCUUGCAGGCUGGCAUAGACCCACUUUAUCCACUGAUAGUGGAGCUCACCUGGCCUGAGCUGGUGUCUGUCUGGUGGUGGAAAUAUUCUGUAGGCCUAGCUGUGGCCCAAGUGUGUGCCAGGAGGUCAACCUCGGUUCAUAGCUCAAGCUCUGCCAGGAAGUAUCUGUUCUGCCUUUUGUUGCCAUGUCCUUGAACCCAAGGGGGAUCCUCCUGUAGCCGAGAAUGAUGCCAGAAGAGAGCCAGUGUGCCUCUCACUGACUGAGCAGUUCCACUUCCUUCCCCGACUGCCUGGGCGAGCCUGCCCUCACCAGCCCACAAGCCGGUACAGCUCCCUUGGCUGAGUGCCUGAUUCCCUAGCCGCCCUUUACCUCUGAGACAGGGGAACUGUUGGUCUUAACUGACCAGGAAGAAAAUGUGUUUGACCACAGGGACCCUGCUGUUCUGUGCCUCCAAACCCUCGUUCUUUACAGAGAUGCCCUGAGCCUGGGCCCACAAACCACCUGAGGCAUUUGAGGGCCCAGUUCAGCAGCAGAGGAUCAGUUAGAGAAAUCCCCUUUGGGUCAUUUUAUAUGGUUUGGAUAGCAGGUGCAUC
ensembl:lncRNA